UUGACAACAUCCAAGUCUCAUACUAUAUCCUUAUCUUUUAUUUAAUGCAUUUAUGUUUAUGCCUUUAAUUACUUUAUUGCUUUAUUUAUACUUUCAUUAGUGCUAAAUUAGAGUUAGUUGGUGAGAAUUAGUAGUGAAUACUUAAUUGGUUAAUUACUCUAACCGGGUUAUCAAGAGUUGACACUACAGGCUGGGUUCUUCUGAUUUCAUUGUCGUGUCUAGAAAUUAAUCACUGGGGAUUUUUUUUUUUGUGUUGAAUGGAGCUCGUAUAUCAAAUUUGAACUCGUUCUGUGAAUAUUUGAGUGAGAUUGAACUGAGAAUUUUUUAGCUGAGCUUGAAUCAGUCGAAGAACACUUGUUUCGAUUGAAGAACUCCCCGAACUGAUUCGAGCAGCUGGUAAAUCGAAGAGGAAAACCUGUAGAGCUGAUUCGAAUUGAUAUUUUAGGUUGAUCCGGAGUCGAUUCUCUCAAGAAGACGAAGAACAACAGCUGUGUUCUUCAUUUUUUUUCUGAGAUUCAUUUGCAACUGAUUUGGCUCCACGAAGGUAUCAUGGAGUACGGACAAACUUCUAGUCCUAAUUGUGAUCCAAGGAGUGAGACUCCGAUGCAUGAAGUUGUCUCUAUGCUUUAUGACAUAAGUGAGAAGGUUACCAAUUUUACCAUAUGGCAACACAAAACGAAUGCAAGGUUGAAUUCCAUAUUGGGGGAAUCUCACUUGAGGCAACAAGGAAGGGAGAGCACUAUGACGCUUACUAAUUCCUCUGAUACACCUUCUCAUUCACAAGUACGACAAAUGCUUCAAAGAGGAAAAACGCAACAUAACCAACAUAUCCAAAUACCACAAAACCUACCAAAGCAACCACAAUCACCAAAGGGGCCUUAUUUUCCUCCACCAAACUACCGACCACCUACCUACUACCAACACCAACUACAACCCCUAAUCACACAUCAACCACCAUGAGUACCUCAACUACAACCUUAUCAAACUUCGCCACUACCUAGGCCACAAGUAACUUGUCAAGAGCCUCGGAUGAUGAACAACCCAUUUUUUCAACAUAAUCGUGAGACCACCUUGAAUGAGUUGGACAACAUCCAACAAGUUUUCAAUGACGAAUAUAGGGGGGAUGAAGUAAAUCAAAGGGGAAGAGGCCAAAUGAAGUUGAGAACAUCCUUGAAAAAUGCAAAGAGACAAAAUAAGGAUGAGAGACAAAAGAAAGAUAGAAGUGAGGGAGAGAAAAAUGACAACUCUAGUUGUCACAAGAAAAGAGUGAAGAGCUUGAAAAGAAAAAGAGAGAAAAGAAAGAGGGAAAACAAAAGGAGAGUGAGGAUUUUCCUUAUUCUAAUGCUAAUCUUUCUUCUUUCUCUACUUGUUUUGUAACUUGUGUAGGGACUUUUGGAGACGAACCAUCAAGUGAAGUUCAAUCCACUUUGAAUAGCCUGGAAGAAGAUCAAUUUACCUUUUCAAGAGGACUUAUGAAAUUAAAUGAGGAAGUGCAAGGUAGCGUAUCCUUCUACCUAUGAUACUUUAGUUGAUUGUGGUGACACUUUUGAGUUUGAAAGAUAGCUAUGACAUUGAUGAGUUUGAUAUUACUUUAUCUUGUGAUGAGGACAAUAAAUGUGACUUGUAACUAGCUAAGAGUUCUUGUGCAUUAUUGGAUGAUUCUAGUUCUUUGUUUAGUGACUCUUUAGCUAGUGAUGAUGUUGAGUCUUAUGAUACCCCACCUUUAUGGGAUGAUGCAUGUGAUGAUUCAUUUGACUCAACUUUAACUUUGUUGGAAGAAAUUUUUGACCUUUAUGAAGAAAUGAGUCAAGAAGAAUGUGUUGAUGAUUCUUUUGAUUCUAUUGUCAUUCCUUUGGCAAAAAAAUUCAAUUUUUAUGGUGAAGUGAGCAAAUGUGAGUGUGGAGAUGCCUUGUUGGAGAGUGAACAAGUUACUUAGAAUGACAUAAAUAUAGAAGAAGAAAAUCAUUUGUAUUCUAAUGAGUUGACUUCUCUUGUAUUUGAUCUUGAUGACUCUUACGCAUAUUUAUGUGAUGAAUUUGUUGAGUAUGAAAAGGAAAGGAAAGUUUUUGAUGCUAGCACUAGUAUUAAUUGCUUUACUUAUUUUAUUCCUACUUUUGAAAGAACAUUCUCAUUGGAUUUUGCUAAUGCUUCUAUGAGAAAAGGUAGCAAUGCUUCUUUUCGUGUUUUGAGUGACCAUUUUGAGUAAAAAGAACCUAACUUUAUUGAUUAUUUUGUGAAGGUUCAACAAGAGAAAGUUGCUAAGGGUAAGAAAGGUCUUGAACUAAUAUUUUGGCAUACUUUUUGUCAAGAGCUUUUUCUUUUGCCCAAAAGCGAGAAUGGUAUGUACGUUUGGCUUAUGCUUAUCUUGUGUUUAUCUAAGGCUGUUGAGGUAAAGACUCUUAACUUUGAGUAUUGUGAUAUUCUUUAUAUGAUGAUUCAUGAUGAGCUUCGCAUAUCUCUUAAGUUGUCAUGUGAAGUUGUUGGAAAGUGUGUAGAUAUUUGGGGAUUAAAAUUUGUGUUUGACCCCGGAGUUGUUUCUUAUCAUGGUGAAGUGUCUUUCUUUGGAUUGGAGAGUAUGAUUUUUAUUGCUUCUUAUGACACUUGGUUAUACCAUAAAAGUGUGCACUUUGUUGAGAAUUUUACAAGAUUGUGGUUUUGUUGGAAGCAUGAAACUUUACACUCUCUUGAUUAUUCUCGUGAGUAUUAUUUUUCUUAUUGUCAAAUUUGUGUUGGAGAUGUGUUCUUUAUAGAUUAUGACACUUGGCUAUAUCAUAAGAGUGUCACUUUUGAGUCCAAGAUUGUGAUCUUUGAUCUUUUAGCUUGGACAUAUAAUGCUUUGAUUUUGAUUGGCUUGGUACUUAUAUUUGUCACUUUCUUGGUUUUGCAAGGUCCAAAUUCGAGGACGAAUUUCUUUCAAGAGGGGGAGGAUGAUACAUGCUGGAUGACCAUGCCUAAUGAUUUUCAAGUCUACAUCAUAGAAUUGGAGUGUUUUAAAGGAGUCAAGAUCAAGAAGGCUAUACUUGUAAUAAUUGACUACACUUAGCUCAUUAGAAUUAGCUUAGGGAUAUUUGGGUCAUUUGCAGCCAAAUACCCACUCUAGUAUAAAUAGCCUUUAAGGAUUUUAUUUUAGGUAGACUUGAUGAAUGAUAAACUUGAAGACAUGCAAGUCUCACACUGUAUUCUUAUCUUUUAUUUAAUGCAUUUAUGUUUAUAUCUUUAA